CAAGCACUCCAACGGCAAAUGUAGUAGCUAAGCAUCGCAUAAAGCAUCACACCAAAUACAUUAAUGAGCAAUAACAGCAAUUUUGGAAUUAUUGUAUUUGAAAUGGCAAAAAAAAAAAAAACACCAAUACCACCUCUAGUAGCAUGAUUACUUGGUUUAUCAAGCUUGACCAAUAGGUGACACUGUUAUAAAAUCAAUUUGGUGUACUCUGUGUGUCUUUUCAAUGACACACACAAAGUUUGGUGUCAAUAUGCCAAAGCAUUCCAGGGAUACAGCCUCAAGUGUCAUUUUCUCAUUGUGCCUCAAAUUCGUCUAUGUGGUAUGCGAAAACGGUUUUGUCUAUCGACUCAAAAUCCAUAACUUUGAAUCAGUAUAGCCUGAAGAUCAUUUGAUUCGAAUUUGGUGAAAAUCGGACAUACGGUUGAUCAGGAGUUCGAAAAAGUAUGUUUUCAACAUAAAUCAAAAUGGCGGACCGGAAGUUCAGCUUACCGUGGUAUAUUUGGUAUCUAUGUUAUCGGCAUAAGCCAGGGAAUAUUUUGAGCCCAGUUUCCUUCAAAUAGGCUAAUGCAUUAAAAAGUUAUUAGCAUUUUAAAAAGUGUAAUUACUCAUGGUUAAUGAAUGGUUUAUUACUCUUGACCAAUAGGUGGCGCUGUUACCAAAUUUAUGUGGCAUGGUCAGUGUGAGGUGGCGAUGACACAUACAAAGUUUGGUGCAAAUAUGUCAAAGUGUUGCAGAGAUACAGCCUCAAAUGCAUUUUGGCACCCUUCCAGCAAAUUCGUUGAUGCGCUAAAUGAGAACCGUUACGUAUAUCGACACAAAAUCCAUAACUUUUUGCCAGCAUGGUCUGAAGAUGAUUCACGUCAAAUUUGGUGAAAAUUGGGCUAACGGUCUAGGAGGAGUUCGAAAAAGUAGGUUUUCAACAUUAAGCAAAAUGGCGGACAGGAAGUAAGGCCAAUUUUCACAUUAUUGGUAUCAAUACUCUCGGCAUGACCCACAGAAUAUAGCGAGACCAUUUUAAUUUUAAUAGACUAAUUUAUUCAAAAGUUAUUAGCAUUUAUGUGAUAUUUCAUUAUAACUAUUGGCCACAAGGUGGCGCUGCCACCAAACUUUUUGAGUACCUUCAGGGCAUGGAGCCGAAUAUUUUU